rnacentral:rRNA from 1 species
AUUGAACGCUGGCGGCAUGCCUUACACAUGCAAGUCGAACGGUAGAGGGGGCAACCCCUUGAGAGUGGCGAACGGGUGAGUAAUGCAUCGGAACGUGCCCAGUUGUGGGGGAUAACACUUCGAAAGAAGUGCUAAUACCGCAUACGACCUGAGGGUGAAAGCGGGGGACUCGCAAGAGCCCUGCGCAAUUGGAGCGGCCGAUGUCAAAUUAGGUAGUUGGUGGGGUAAAGGCCUAACAAGCCGACGAUCUGUAGCUGGUCUGAGAGGACGACCAGACACACUGGUACUGAGACACGGCCCAGACUCCUACGGGAGGCAGCAGUGGGGAAUUUUGGACAAUGGACGCAAGUCUGAUCCAGCCAUGCCGCGUGCAGGAAGAAGGCCUUCGGGUUGUAAACUGCUUUUGUCAGGGAAGAAAUCCUUUGGGUUAAUACCUCGGGGGGAUGACGGUACCUGAAGAAUAAGCACCGGCUAACUACGUGCCAGCCGCCGCAGUAA